rnacentral:rRNA from 1 species
CAGCCGCCGCGGUAAAACGAAGGGGGCUAGCGUUGCUCGGAAUGACUGGGCGUAAAGGGCGCGUAGGCGGUUUUGACAGUCAGAUGUGAAAUUCCUGGGCUUAACCUGGGGGCUGCAUUUGAGACGUCAAGACUAGAGUGUGAGAGAGGGUUGUGGAAUUCCCAGUGUAGAGGUGAAAUUCGUAGAUAUUGGGAAGAACACCGGUGGCGAAGGCGGCAACCUGGCUCAUUACUGACGCUGAGGCGCGAAAGCGUGGGGAGCAAACAGGAUUAGAUACCCGCGUAGUCCCUGUCUCUUAUAC